UACGGAGGGGGCUAGCGUUGUUCGGAAUUACUGGGCGUAAAGCGCGCGUAGGCGGACCUGCAAGUCGGGGGUGAAAGCCCGAGGCUCAACCUCGGAACUGCCUUCGAUACUGCGGGUCUCGAGUCCGGGAGAGGUGAGUGGAAUUCCUAGUGUAGAGGUGAAAUUCGUAGAUAUUAGGAAGAACACCAGUGGCGAAAGGCGGCUCAGCUGGCCCGGUACUGACGCUGAGGCGCGAAAGCGUGGGGAGCGAACAGG
rnacentral:rRNA from 1 species